CAGGCAGAGGGAGAAGCAGGCUCCAUGCAGGGAGCCCAACGUGGGACUCGAUCCCCAGACCCAGGAUCACGACCUGAGCCAAAGGAGGAAGGUCUCUUAUGCUCCUCAUUUCCCUGAGGCAACUGUGGCUCCAAGCAGCUACAAGACCUGGCCACAGUGACAGAGGAGGUGAAAAACUGAGGUUGAAAAAAGCAAGAGAAUGGCACAGUAUCACACAGGCUCAACAGUUACCACCGGAGUGGCAGCUAGCCCUGGGGAGAUCAGCAGGCAUCAGUUGAAUACUCAUAAAUGUGCUGCCGAGCCGGAAGAGGAGCAGGAGCGUCAGCCCUAGAACCACUGCCAAAUACACUCACUGCUGAUGGACUUUAACCAGUUGCCUGACUUCAGCCAAACCAUGCCAGAGCCAGCAGUCAGCAGGCUGGGCCCCAGACCUCACUCUGCCAGGUGGCAUCAGCAGUGCUCCACCCCUCAUCAUCCUCUCCACUUGCUCCCUAUUCUUCCAUCCUCGACUUCUCCUCCUCAUUUCCUUUCUUCUCGCUCCCUCCCUCCCCCAUCCUUCUAGGCAUCACCAUGGCAUCACAGCAGAGCAGAAACCUCAGCGAGAUAUUCACCCACCUCU